rnacentral:lncRNA from 10 species
UUGGGAUUCAUUGACAUAAUAAUCCUGAAUGGAUGAGAGCUGAAAUGUAACCAAAUAUGCAUGAAGACCCCAUCAUCUUGUUUGUACACUCCUAGGGCCCUUCAAACUUUUGGCUCUUCCCUCUUGAAAGCCAAGAAUGGCACGUUGAGUCUUCACAUCACCGCUGUCUUGCUCUGUCAUCACAACCUCUCUGAUGUUGACUCACCUGCCUUCUUCCUAUAAGGACUAUUGUGAUUAGAUUGGACCCAUCUGGAUAUUACAGAAUACUAUCUUGUACCAAGUUCAGCUAAUUCCUUUAAGAAUUAGUGCCCACUAAGUGAACAAUCUUCCAGAAUAUUUCUGAUGGUUAUGGUUACUAAUAAAAACUUCAACUACUGAAUUUUUAUCACUAAGACUGACAAAUCCAUAGGAAAGGACACUAUGAAAAAAUUGCCCUAAAAAAGUGAAAGCUGAAGUAAAGAAAAAUGUAUAGUGAAAUAAACAAAUCUGGGCUUUCACAUUCUGCUUUUAAUUCAAGAGGAAAAAAAAACAAAAAACAAAACACCUCAACCUUUUUCCUGU